CGCGUGAGCAAUCUACCUUAGUUACUGGGAUAGCCCGAGGAAACUCGGAUUGAUACCGGAUAUUCUUUAUUUUUCACAUGUAAGUUUAAAGGGAAAGGUCAGCCGAACUAAGAUGAGCUCGUCGUUCUAUCAGCUAGUUGGUAGGGGUAAAAGCCUACCAAGGCGACGAUCUCUAGCUGGUUUGAGAGGAUGAUCCAGCCACACUGGGACUGAGACACGGCCCAGACUCCUACGGGAGGCAGCAGUGGGGAAUAUUGCACAAGUGGGGGAAACCCUGAUGCAGCCAUGCCGCGUGUGUAG
rnacentral:rRNA from 1 species